rnacentral:rRNA from 1 species
GACGAACGCUGGCGGCGUGCUUAACACAUGCAAGUCGAACGAAGUGGCGAACGGGUGAGUAACGCGUAAUCAACCUGCCCUUCAGAGGGGGAAAAGAGUGGGAAACGACUGCUAAUACCGCAUACUGUAGGAGGGGAUGGCGUCUGAUUGGCUAGUGGGAGGGGUAACGGCCCACCAAGGCGAUGAUUAGUAGCCGGUCUGAGAGGAUGGACGGCCCCAUUGGGACUGGGCCCCGGCCCAGACUCCUACGGGAGGCAGCAGUUGGGAAUCUUUCGCAAUGGACGAAAGUCUGACGGCGCAACGCCGCGUGAGUGAUGACGGCCUUCGGGUUGUAAAGCUCUGUUAAUCGGGACGCGGUACCGGAAUAGAAAGCCACGGCUAACUACGUGCCAGCCGCCGCGGUAAUUC